CAGUGACUGUCCCAUGAAGUUGCCACUUCACAAGCCCUGGACAACUUUCAGGAAGACAGUUCUGGUCUGUAGCAAUUAACACAUGGUCAUCCUCAGAAAAAGGUACCAUUGUGUCUUGAAUCCAGCUUGGCCACAAGGAAAUGGGGCGAGACUUUGUCAUGUAUGUCGCUGAAGUUCAGCUAUGCAAAAAUGUUCACCUAUCCUUGAUCAACCAGUCCAGGAACCAUCAAAGAAGAAAAUGAGAUUCGACUUAGAAGACCUGUUCUUUAUAAACCCCUGCACAGCCCUAAUGAUCAACACCACUUCCAGUGCUCAUAAAUUACUGCUUCAAUAAUUGUUCUGCAAUUCUGCCCAUUCUCAUUGAAUGCUUCGUAUAAUCCCUUUAUCUACUUUGGGCUACAAUUCAUUUUUA
rnacentral:lncRNA from 1 species